UACGGAAGGCAGCAGUGGGGAAUAUUGCACAAUGGGCGAAAGCCUGGUGCAGCUAUGCCGCGUGUAUGAAGAAGGCCUUAGGGUUGUAAAGUACUUUCAUCGGGGAGGAAAAACAAAACUAAUAAUUUUAUUUCUUGACGUUACCCGAAAAAGAAGCACCGGCUAACUCCGUGCCAGCAGCCGCGGUAAUACGGAGGGUGCUAGCGUUAAUCAGAAUUACUGGGCGUAAAGAGCACGUAGGUGGUUUUUUUAAGUCAGAUGUGAAAUCCCUGGGCUUAACCUAGGAACUGCAUUUUGAAACUGAAAUACUAGAGUAUCGUAGAGGGAGGUAGAAUUCUAGGUGUAGCGGUGAAAUGCGUAGAUAUCUGGAGGAAUACCUGUGGCGAAAGCGGCCUCCUAAACGAAUACUGACACUGAGGUGCGAAAGCGUGGGGAGCAAACAGGGAUUAGAUACC
rnacentral:rRNA from 1 species